AGUGAACGCUGGCGGCAUGCCUAACACAUGCAAGUCGAACGGUAGCAGGCCCGCAAGGGUGCUGACGAGUGGCGGACGGGUGAGGAAUACAUCGGAGUUUGCCCAGUCGUGGGGGAUAACGUAGGGGAACUUACGCUAAUACCGCAUACGACCGAGAGGUGAAAGCGGGGGAUCUGUAAGGACCUCGCGCGAGUGGAUAAGCCGAUGUCGGAUUAGCUAGUUGGCGGGGUAAAGGCCCACCAAGGCGACGAUCCGUAGCUGGUCUGAGAGGAUGAUCAGCCACACUGGGACUGAGACACGGCCCAGACUCCUACGGGAGGCAGCAGUGGGGAAUAUUGGGACAAUGGGGGCAACCCUGAUCCAGCAAUGCCGCGUGUGUGAAGAAGGGCCUUCGGGUUGUAAAGCACUUUUAUCCGGAACGAAACGCGCAGGGUGAAUAUCCUUGCGAACUGACGGUACCGGAGGAAUAAGCA
rnacentral:rRNA from 1 species